UUUGUGAACAUACCUAUAACUGUUGCUUCGGCGGGUAGGGUCUCCGUGACCCUCCCGGCCUCCCGCCCCCGGGCGGGUCGGCGCCCGCCGGAGGAUAACCAAACUCUGAUUUAACGACGUUUCUUCUGAGUGGUACAAGCAAAUAAUCAAAACUUUUAACAACGGAUCUCUUGGUUCUGGCAUCGAUGAAGAACGCAGCGAAAUGCGAUAAGUAAUGUGAAUUGCAGAAUUCAGUGAAUCAUCGAAUCUUUGAACGCACAUUGCGCCCGCCAGCAUUCUGGCGGGCAUGCCUGUUCGAGCGUCAUUUCAACCCUCAAGCUCUGCUUGGUGUUGGGGCCCUACAGCUGAUGUAGGCCCUCAAAGGUAGUGGCGGACCCUCCCGGAGCCUCCUUUGCGUAGUAACUUUACGUCUCGCACUGGGAUCCGGAGGGACUCUUGCCGUAAAACCCCCCAAUUUCCAAAGGUGAC
rnacentral:rRNA from 1 species